AUUGAACGCUGGCGGCAUGCCUUACACAUGCAAGUCGAACGGCAGCACGGGUGCUUGCACCUGGUGGCGAGUGGCGAACGGGGGAGUAAUACAUCGGAACAUGUCCUGUAGUGGGGGAUAGCCCGGCGAAAGCCGGAUUAAUACCGCAUACGAUCUACGGAUGAAAGCGGGGGACCUUCGGGCCUCGCGCUAUAGGGUUGGCCGAUGGCUGAUUAGCUAGUUGGUGGGGUAAAGGCCUACCAAGGCGACGAUCAGUAGCCGGUCCGAGGGGACGACCCGCCACAGGGCGGCUGGGACACGGCCCAGACCCCGACGGGAGGCAGCGGCGGGGAAUUUGGGGCAAGGGCUAGUGCCUGAUCCAGCAAUGCCGCGUGUGUGAAGAAGGCCUUCGGGUUGUAGAGCGCUUUUGUCCGGAAAGAAGUCCUUGGCUCUUAUACGGUCGGGGGAUGACGGUACCGGAAGAAUAAGCACCGGCUAACUACGUG
rnacentral:rRNA from 1 species